AAGAAUCUAUUUGCAAAACUUCAAGAGGGCUAUAUUAUGUAUUAAUGUGGGAUUAUGCAUUAUUAUGGAGAAGGAACUGGCAAGCCACUCCAGUAUUCUUGCCUGGAGAAUCCCAUGGACAGAGAAGCCUGGUGGGCUACAGUCCAUGGGUUCGCAAAGAGGGGGACACAACUGAACGACUUCACUUCACUUCAUGCAUUAUUUAGUAAACAUAAGAAGCAAACAGUGCAUGAUCUUUAUUUUACACAUUCUCAAAAAAAUCUUACGCAGUACUGAUAUUAAGGAACAUCUAGGUAAGCUCCCAUUUAUUGAGUGCUUACUAUUUCACAUACGGAUAGUGUGUUGAUUAACAUAUACAUUAACAUAUUUAUAACAUGUCACUCUGCAUACAUGACUGUGUACACAGACUGUUAUCAGACCUGGUGAGAGGUGUGGAUCAAAUGGAAACUACUGAGGAGAGCAAGAGACAACUGAAGAAUAUUUGUAAGAGCAUAUAACAUAUGCCACACAAAAUUAAAGUAACAAUUAACUGCUGACUGUCAAGACCAGCCUGACCAACAGCACAGGGUUGUUGUUAGACACAACCCCAUGCUCAGCAAACCCAGAGGUUCCUAUAGUGAUUUCUAUAAAUGGCAACACCACCGGCUUUGUUUCCCCAUUCUCUCCCCUUGUCCAGAGACCAUGUCAUCCAAGGGACUGGUCACCCCAGCUCCAGAAACCCACCCCCUUUUCAAAGAUGUGAGGCAGUUGAGGGCAUGGAGGCAAGGGAAGUGAACUCUUCAGAGGUAGAGUGACUUCAAAUAACAGCUCGCAGGGACUACCUUAGCCAUCAGGUGGUUGGGGCUCUGAGCAUCCAAUGCAAGGAAAAUGGAUUCUUAUUUGUUUAUUUGGUUGCUCAGUGUCCAACUCUUUGCGACACCGUGGUCUGUUCCAUGCAGGUUCCAUCCCAGAUCUCACUUUCUUUGUGACACAGAGGAAACUGGAGAGUGAUGCGCCGGCUGGAGGAUGCAUCCUAGUUGCUGGUCUGUCCUCAAUGCCUGUGAUGAUUGACAGUCACUGACUUUGCAGAUCUUAUAAUACUUUCUUCAUGCCUGCCUCUCCAAGCACAGGUGGCCAUCAACUCGUGACACUCGACUUGUGACUUUCCAAACUGUAUUAAUAUUCUUUGGGAGGGAGAAGCUAACUAAACCCAAGCAACACAUUAGAACAUAAGGAAGGGCAUUUGGAUUUGUGGUGAGAGAGAGGGAGGUCAGACAUCAAGAGGAAUGAAUGGCCUGGUGAUGACAGUAGAUGGUAGAAAUAGGAAACUAAGUCUAAAUGUUUCUUCAUUUUUUUAAAAAUCCAACACAGAUCUCUCUCCCUUGGCUAGCACCUGGAGGCGAGGGGUUGAAGAGACCUUGCAGAUCACUUGGACAAGCUUCAGCCUGAGGUCCAGUGAGUGAUUCAUCCCAACAGGUCAGAUCCUAGAAGCCCCCUGGAAGGCUGGCCGCUCCCCUGGGAGGGAGUGGGGGAGGAAGGCCCAGUACCAGGCAGCCUCUGCUCCAGCUCUGAGGGGGUGGGGAAGGCAAACCCUGGUCAUCCCCUGGCUCUGUGGUCCUUUUGUGUGAGUCCUGGCAGGGAUGACGUGGGGCUGUGCCUGGGAGCACAGCUGUGGUUCUGCUGGGGAGGAGGCAGGGCCAGGGCAGCUCUGCCCGCCCCGAUCCUCCCCGAGGACUUUUUCAGGGGUGGGACCUGCACCCCAAGGGCCUCUCCUUGGCCUGACCCUGCUGCAGGGGCUCUCUGUCCCCACCGACAGUGGAGAUGGCCAGUUUAUUGAGCUCCGCUCUGCCCAGCGGUCUCCCCUCCCUCCUCUUCCUCCUCCUCCAGUUGACUUCCAGCUCUGCAGGACAGUUCAGAGUAAUAGGACCAGGGCACCCCAUCCGGGCGCUGGUGGGGGAUGAAGUGGAAUUGCCCUGUCGCAUAUCUCCAGGAAAGAACGCUACAGGCAUGGAGGUGGGAUGGUAUCGGCCCCCCUUCUCCAGGGUGGUUCAUCUCUACCGAAAUGGCAAGGACCAAGACGAAGAGCAGGCACCUGAAUACCGGGGCCGCACGCAGCUGCUGAAAGAGACUAUUGGGGAGGGGAAGGUGACCCUCAGGAUCCGGAAUGUGAGGUUCUCAGAUGAAGGAGGUUUUACCUGCUUCUUCCGAGAUCACUCUUACCAAGAGGAGGCAGCGAUGGAAUUGAAAGUGGAAGAUCCCUUCUACUGGAUCAACCCCGGCGUGCUGGUGCUCAUCGCGGUCCUGCCAGUGCUCCUCCUGCAGAUCACCGUGGGCCUUGUCUUCCUGUGCCUGCAGCGCAGGCUCCGAGGAAAACUCUGGGCAGAGAUAGAGAAUCUCCACCGGACUUUUGGUAAGUUCUGGGAUACCCAGCCCCCCAGGUCAGCUUGGUGUUUCACAAGACUCCUGUCACCUGGGGACAAAACGACCCCCGGCUCCUGGUUGGUUUUCUCCCUCUCUUGUUCUUUCUUUGAAUGUCACUGUCUGCAUCUAAGAUUGGUUAGAUAAUAGCAUUAUUAAUUAAUAACACUUAGAGCUUCCCAGGUGGCUCAGUGAUAAAGAAUCUUGCCAGCAAUGCAGGAGAUGUGGGUUCGAUCCUUGGGUCGGGAAGAUCGCUAGAGGAGGAAAUAACAACUCACUUCAGUAUUCUUGCCUGGAAAACCCCACAGGCAGAGAGGGACCAGGCAGGCUACAGUCCAUGGGUCGGAAAGAGUUGGACAUGACUGAGCUCACAAGCACACACUUUCAUGUGUGGUACUAUAACUAACAGCUUCCCAAAGUUAACUCACUCUAGGAAUUACAAAUACUUUACGUACAUGAUUUAUUUUUUCAGGAAUUAGAAAGGAGAGGUAAACAGAGCCUUUGCACAUCAAUUUGAUGUCUAGUUGGGGAAGUGAUACAUACACAUAAAUUAACUGGCGAACGAAAGUACAUAUACAUCAUUGACAAAUCACGAGGAAAAAUGAGUUUUCAUGAGUGCAGAAUAAGUAACUGACUCCUCGGGGAAGACUUAGUGGGGCAAGUGAAGACACACCCCCCAGAAUGUUGGCCUGGACUUCCCUGGCAGUCCACUGCAGAAGACUCUGCACUUCCACUGUAGGGGGAUACGGGUUUGAUCCCUGGUGGGGGAACUAAGAUCCUGCAUGCCACAGCAGGGAAAAAAAAAAAAAGGUUGGCCCAAGGCCAUGGUUUCUGUCCUUUUUGUUCACUGCAGAUCAUCUAGUGCCUAAGGACAAUGCCUACAACAGAAGGGCACCCAAAUACUUGUUGAGUGGAUGUUGCAGAAAUUUUAAUAUGGUCCCUGCCCUGAGCAGCCUUCCCCAACAGCCUUUGCUUCUGAAGGCUGGAGGUGUCCCUGACUCCACCCUGGCAUUUAAUCAGUGUGUAGAAAAAAACACACAGUUUCCAACUCAAAGGGGAGGACCAAGAUCUUUGUUUUACAGAAUUCAAAUAACAAAGGUCUUAACUCUAUACUCUUCAAUAGUCUGGUGAAGCCUCAUGAACCUCUCCCUUCCCAGAAUGUUUUGAAAUGUACACAUAAAAUACAACCCAUAUGAUUACAAAGAAUACCAUUGUUUUGAAAGUUAUUGCAAUAUAAACAAAUUUGUGAUUAAAGUAACCAAUGUUUCUUUAAAUAACAAAACUAUAGAUUAAAUAAUAAAAUGUACUGGCAAGUCUAACAAUCUGGUAUUUCAAAAUAUUGAUAAACAGUAUUUUGAGACUUCAGAAACAACUUUGAUGGGAAUGCUGUUUCCAUUGGUGAUAAAGCCACAGGUACCACUGAUAACUGAUUUGUUACCUACAGUCCUUUUUCAGGAAGAAAAAGCUAAAUUCAGUUUGAAGUUAGUGAAAAUAAAAAUGUAGUGCUUUUCUCAUGCAAAUUCAUGAACUCCCUGGAUUCUAUCCAAACUAUUUUGGGACCCAGGUUAAGAACCCCCAAUCCCAAAGAAAGGCAAUAAUAAAUGGAGGGGGUGGGUGGGACACAAGGGGGGGGGGACAUGUUAAUCCUGUUUGUUUUGUGGCAAAUAAUUCAGAUCCCCACUUCCUGAUGGUGCCCUGCUGGAAGAUAACCCUAUUUGUCAUCGUGCCGGUUCUCGGACCCCUAGUGGCCUUGAUCAUCUGCUAUAACUGGCUACACCGCAGACUAGCAGGGCAAUUUCUUGAAGAGCUAAGAAACCCCUUCUGAAGGACACCGCAUCUUGGCUGAGAUGCAGAAGAGCCUGGCUGGUCCAAGGAUCAGUCCUUGGGAUGUCACAUCCAUUGAGUUGCACAUUCACUGGCCUCCCUCUUCGCUGCGGGGACAUUGCAAUCUGCACUUCAGGAAUGCUCUGAAUUCCAAACAGGAUCGACUUCUCUUCUGUCAUUAUCUUGUCUGUCCCUUUCCCCAGCUCCUUCCUUCCUCUCCCCCUUUUUGCUGCCCACAUCGUUCUGCUCCUUGGUUUGUCUUCUACCUGGAAGUCUUCUCGGGCUAUAGCCAGGCAGGUGUUCUUCUGUCAGAGGACACCUGUGCUGCAGAGUAACGAAGACAAGAGGGUCUCUGCCAUGAAAUGGAGACCAGGAACCUCCUCGUUGCAAAUUACAACACAUCAGCUUUGCAAAUGGUGGUCAUUUCUUCCAAGAUCUCAGCCCUCGUAGGCAGAGCUGAGGGGUGUGAAGGGUUGAAGAGAAGGUGCAGGAAAAGUCCACAAUAUCCAAGAGAGAGCCAAGUGACCUGCGGAGUAAGGACCUGGGGAGAAACCCAUAGAGUGCUGGCCAGAGCUCCAUCUUGUCUGGGCGGCUCAGCGAGGAGCCAGGGGAGCAAGGGAUGAGAAGGGAGCAACACGCCUGCUUUCAAACACCUCCCUUCUACUUUCACACCCCUCCAGAUGGGCCCCUCAGAUUUCCCCUUCUCUCAUCCUUUCCCUCCCAUCUUCAUACCUAUUGGAGAUCCACUGUCUUUUUGAACAAUUACUACUUGAUGGUCUAUCAGACACAAAGAAACAAGCUAGGUGCUAAUUAAUAACAAUACAAGUUUCCAAGUGCCACUUCUUGUCCCCUUUCCUUUCUGUAUGUCCUCCACUAUCCCCUCACCUCUCUUCCUCUAUCCCAGUCUCCUUACCCUGGAGGUCAUUCCUCUGGAAAACCAGAGAAAGACCUCGGGCGGACAGGCCAUUCAUUUCCCUUCCAAGACCUUCACUGCCUUCUCUGCUUUCUUUCUUCUGCAUGCCUUUUCCUCUCCCUUCCUCCCCUUUCCUGAGGGUCUAGAUCCAGGAGAAAGAUCCAUUUCCUUCCCUGCCACAGCAGAGGCAUUAGGAAAGAAGCCGAGCCACUGACCCAGGAUGGCCCAGCACUUGUGGGGACUGCCCAGGAACAGCCCCUUGCUUCUGUAGCCCCCCCAGUGACCCAAAAGGUCCUCUUUCUCCCCAAAGCAGACGUCGCAGAUAGGGCAACAGUAGAUCCUCUGCUUCCAAUGAGUCUGCUGGUGCCGGAUCAGCCCGGAGAAUAAAGUGAAGGACUUGCCACAGUG